CUUUUGUGUGUAAGUGUGCAUUAGUACAUGCUAACGAUAUUCAAAAAGUACAUACCUCAAAGAAAACGAUGACGCGAGUUAUCGUCUCUAACGUUCGAGGACUACAAAAAACACUCGGAUUGUAGGCAACAGUUUACUUCCUGGGAUUAGUGACGUAGAUAAGACCAACAUUAUCAUAGUUCAGCCCUCUCUGCUUUGCUUGGGUACGCCCUCAAAGACGGGGGUGGGGAGCGCUGAGUCAGGAGAGAGCUAAAAUGGCGGAGGUUGUGAGUCCCUGCUUUGACUCUGUUUGCAAACUCUUGUUUCAUUGUUUAAGCGAUUAAAUCUCUCGAGUAGACGCUGUCUCUUUAGAUGCGAGGGCAAAAUAGCACUUUAUGGACUUCCACAGAGGACAUCAUGUUUAAUACGGUUCCGGAAAAAUCCAGUCAGAAUUUGUUCACGGAGUUUUCACAAUAACUGCUUCUCAUGAACCGAAGCUGGAUUUGCACGACGUCUCCUCUUGAAAGUUGGAUUACUGUGCACUUCUGGAUCACAGGCUAUUCGCAGCUGUACACAUCCUUCUACACUGUAUGCAAACAUGCAACAUCAUAACACACAGUACAAGGAGUCAGACUGGCAUAUGAGGAGCAAAGGAACCCAGGCAGUAGCAUCGUUUCACAAUGUUUCCAUCACCAUCAUCAGUGGAUGCCUUUGCCGUCCGUAGCCUGAUAUUUCAGAUUUGCAGCAAAAAAAAUUUGAUUUUCUCAUUUAUUGGAAUGCUGUGCAG